rnacentral:pre_miRNA from 1 species
CUCACAGCUGGUUCUCAAUGCCGGGAGUUCCUUCAAUCACUUCGCCGAAUCCGAAAGCAUUUUGCUGAAGUGUUUGGAGGAACUUCGGGCGUCACUGAACUGC